rnacentral:rRNA from 1 species
UACGGGGGGUGCAAGCGUUGUCCGGAAUCAUUGGGCGUAAAGCGUUCGUAGGCGGUAUGUCAAGUCUGAUGUUAAAGCCCGGGGCUCAACUCCGGUUCGGCAUUGGAUACUGGCAAACUAGAAUGUGGUAGAGGUAAAGGGAAUUCCUGGUGUAGCGGUGAAAUGCGUAGAUAUCAGGAGGAACAUCGGUGGCGAAAGCGCUUUACUGGACCAUUAUUGACGCUGAGGAACGAAAGCCAGGGGAGCAA